GGUCGGGUGGCCGAGCGGUCAGGCAGAGGUCUGCAAAACCUUCCACAGCGGUUCGAAUCCGCUUCCGACCU
rnacentral:tRNA from 1 species